GUGCUCCCCCGCCAAUUCCUUUAAGUUUCGGCCUUGCGACCGUACUUCCCAGGCGGCGCGUUUCACGAUUUCUCUUCGGCACCUCGGUGACUCGUGGUCACCGAUACACCUAACGCGCAUCGUUUACAGCUGGGACUACCCGGGUAUCUAAUCCGGUUUGCUCCCCCAGCUUUCGUUCCUCACUGUCGGAGCCGUCCUGGUGAGACGCCUUCGCCACAGGUGGUCCCCCAAGGAUUACAGGAUUUCACUCCUACCCCUGGAGUACCUCUCACCUCUUCCGGUCCCUAGUCUGCCAGUAUCCCUGAGACGCCUUCCGGUUAAGCCGGAAGAUUUCCCCAGAGACUUAACAGACCAGCUACGAACGCUUUAAGCCCAGUAAUAGUGGCCACCACUCGAGCCGCCGGUAUUACCGCGGCGGCUGGCACCGGUCUUGCCCGGCCCUUUCUUCACCAGUUAUUUACACUGGCGGACAGCCUGAUUUUACAGGCACUCGGAGUUCCCUUAUCACGAUUGCUCGCAUUGUAAAGUUUUCGCGCCUGCUGCACCCCGU
rnacentral:rRNA from 1 species